UAUGCCUACGGGAGGCAGCAGUGAGGAAUAUUGGUCAAUGGACGAGAGUCUGAACCAGCCAAGUAGCGUGAAGGAUGACUGCCCUAUGGGUUGUAAACUUCUUUUAUAUGGGAAUAAAAUGUUCCACGUGUGGGAUUUUGUAUGUACCAUAUGAAUAAGGAUCGGCUAACUCCGUGCCAGCAGCCGCGGUAAUACGGAGGAUGCGAGCGUUAUCCGGAUUUAUUGGGUUUAAAGGGUGCGUAGGCGGACAGUCAAGUCAGCGGUAAAAAUGCGGUGCUCAACGCCGUACAGCCGUUGAAACUGGG
rnacentral:rRNA from 1 species